GGGGGGAGCGCUGGAUCUGGGGCUGUGUCCCGCAAGACCUGUGCUCCUGACCCCGCGCUGUUGGAAUCGCACUCCCAGGCACGUAACCUCCU
rnacentral:pre_miRNA from 1 species